CAAUAUGAAUUUUUAGUGGCAAAUUUGCAGUGGGAAAAUAAUAUUUGCCACUAAUUCAUAUAAAUUUGGAAACUUUUGUGGCAAGAUCAAAAUAUGCCACUAUACUCCAAACAAUGGUGGCAUAAAUAAAAGAAUGCCACUGUUCUCUUUUUAUUAGUGGCAAAUUUGACCUUUUGCCAUUAAAAAAACUAAAAAUAGUGGUACUAAAAUAUUUGUAGAGAGCGGGAAUGAAAAGUGAAGGGCGGGAGUGAAAAGUUAAAGCAGUUGUUAGGGUUUCUGAUUGGUAAUGAAAGCUUCUCUUCUCCAUCUGCAAAAUUGACGAGCUUCUCUUCUCCAUCUGCAAAAUUGACGGGCUUCUCUUCUCCAUCUGCAAAAUUGACGAGCUUCUCUUCUCCAUCUGCAAACGGGCUUCUCUUCUCCAUCUCCAAAAUCAACAAGGAAUUAUGUUAGGAUUCCAUACCGCUGCUUGGUUUGUAAUUGUUAUGAUUUGACGGCUCGGGUUGUUGCUAAAACAGGUCCAGUUUCUCUGCUUGCAUUUGAAUCAACUUUCAUUCUACACUUGUGCAUAGUAAACUUUAUUGUCUGUAGGCUCACAAUGUGGGUUAAAGAAUCAAUAGUAUCAAAUUAAGAAUGUCCACUAUAGAUACAUUUGUGCAGCAUAUCUUAACAGGUAUGUUAUAACUCAGCAUUUGCAACUAAUGAUUUCAUUAUGCUUAUUAGAUGGUAAAAGUUGGGAGUCAUUUGAAAACCAUGUUAUCUUAUCUCCAUGUAGUCUGCCGGCAAGUUAACAUCAGAGUAACUGUUGGCCUUUUUUGUUAGUUAAUUUUCCUAGUGUGCUUAUAAUUACUAUUGCUAGGCCUAGAUAAAAGAUUUUAAAAUUUUCUUUUGGUACAAUACAAUUUUUUCCCUUAGAUAGUACUGCAUAAGGAAAUAUGUUUUUUAAUAAUGUUGUUUGAAUAAAUUAAGCGUUGUUAUUAUUCAAUGUCAAAUGCAAGAUGAUACUUAUUAAAUGAGACAUCAAGCACAUCAAACUAAUGGGUUUAUAUUUUUUCAUAAUCUUCAGAACUUGCUUAUUUGAUUAUUUUAAUUUGAUAAUUACAUUAUAUGUUUAGUUUUAUAUAUCUAGCUUAAUGAGGAUCAACAUUUAUCCGCAUGGAGAUGAUUUGAAAGCUAAAGCAGAAGCAAGUAAAUGGUGGAUGGUAGAUCUUGGUGGCAGUGAUCCGAAAACUGUUUAUGGAAGAGCUAUCAUAGAAUAGGAUAAAUUUAUGUGUUCAAUUGUAAUUUUUUGUACUUGUGCAGUAAAUAGAACAAAGUUGAUAAUUUAAGAUUAUUGUACUAGUUUGGAUUGGUUUACAAAGUUAAAAUGAAUGUGUGUUUUUAAUUUU